AACGAACGCUGGCGGCAGGCUUAACACAUGCAAGUCGAGCGCCCCGCAAGGGGAGCGGCAGACGGGUGAGUAACGCGUGGGAAUCUACCCUUUGGUACGGAAUAGCUCCGGGAAACUGGAAUUAAUACCGUAUGUGGCCUAUGGGCGAAAGAUUUAUCGCCAAAGGAUGAGCCCGCGUUGGAUUAGCUAGUUGGUGGGGUAAAGGCCUACCAAGGCGACGAUCCAUAGCUGGUCUGAGAGGAUGAUCAGCCACAUUGGGACUGAGACACGGCCCAAACUCCUACGGGAGGCAGCAGUGGGGAAUAUUGGACAAUGGGCGCAAGCCUGAUCCAGCCAUGCCGCGUGAGUGAUGAAGGCCUUAGGGUUGUAAAGCUCUUUCACCGGAGAAGAUAAUGACGGUAUCCGGAGAAGAAGCCCCGGCUAACUUCGUGCCAGCAGCCGCCGUAA
rnacentral:rRNA from 1 species